rnacentral:rRNA from 1 species
GUAUGGGAGUGAGAAUGUUGGCAUGAGUAGCGAGAUGUGGGUGAGAAUCCCACAGGCCGUAAACCCAAGGUUUCCAGGGGAAGGUUCGUCCGCCCUGGGUUAGUCGGGACCUAAGCUGAGGCCGAAAGGCGUAGGUGAUGGACAACAGGUUGAUAUUCCUGUACUACCGAUAACCGUUUGAGAGAAGGGAUGACACAGUAGGAUAAGCUAAGCACACUGUUGGUUAUGUGUGCCCAAGCAUUGAGGCAGUCAAAGUAGGCAAAUCCGCUUUGAUAAUGCUGGGAUGUGAUGGGGAGCGAAAUUUAGUAGCGAAGUAGCUGAUUUCACACUGUCAAGAAAAGUCUCUAUCGAGGUUAAAGGUACCCGUACCGCAAACCGACACAGGUGGGUGAGGAGAGUAUCCUAAGGCCAGCGAGAGAACUGUUGUUAAGGAACUCGGCAAAAUGACCCCGUAACUUAGGGAUAAGGGGUGCCACCAUCAGGUGGCCGCAGAGAAUAGGCCCAAGCGACUGUUUACCAAAAACAUAGGUUUCUGCUAAGUCGCAAGACGAUGUAUAGGAGCUGACGCCUGCCCGGUGCUGGAAGGUUAAGGGGAUCUGUUAGAGCAAUCGAAGCAGUGAACUUAAGCCCCAGUAAACGGCGGCCGUAACUAUAACGGUCCUAAGGUAGCGAAAUUCCUUGUCGGGUAAGUUCCGACCCGCACGAAAGGCGUAACGAUUUGGGCACUGUCUCAACAACAGACUCGGUGAAAUUGUAAUUCCGGUGAAGAUGCCGGAUACCUGCGACAGGACGGAAAGACCCCAUGGAGCUUUACUGUAGCUUGACAUUGGGUCUUGGUACUACAUGUACAGGAUAGGUGGGAGGCUUUGAAACCAGGACGCCAGUUUUGGCGGAGCCAUCCUUGGGAUACCACCCUUGUAGUACUGGGACUCUAACCAUAGGCCAUGAAUCUGGUCUUGGGACACUGUCAGGUGGGCAGUUUGACUGGGGCGGUCGCCUCCCAAAAGGUAACGGAGGCGCUCAAAGGUUCUCUCAGUACGGUCGGAAAUCGUACGUAGAGUGUAAAGGCAAAAGAGAGCUUGAUUGCAAGACAUACAGGUCGAGCAAGGAUGAAAAUCGGACUUAGUGAUCCGGUGGUUCUGCGUGGAAGGGCCAUCGCUCAACGGAUAAAAGCUACCCUGGGGAUAACAGGCUUAUCUCCCCCAAGAGUCCACAUCGACGGGGAGGUUUGGCACCUCGAUGUCGGCUCAUCACAUCCUGGGGCUGUAGUAGGUCCCAAGGGUUGGGCUGUUCGCCCAUUAAAGUGGUACGCGAGCUGGGUUCAGAACGUCGUGAGACAGUUCGGUCCCUAUCCGUCGCAGGCGUAGGAAAUUUGAGAAGACCUGUCCUUAGUACGAGAGGACCGGGAUGGACGUACCUCUGGUGUACCAGUUGUCCUGCCAAGGGCAUGGCUGGGUAGCUAUGUACGGAAUGGAUAAGCGCUGAAAGCAUCUAAGCGCGAAGCCAACUUCAAGAUAAGAUUUCCCACCGCAAGGGUAAGACCCCAGAAAGACUAUCUGGUUGAUAGGUCGAAGGUGUAAGUGCAGCAAUGUAUUUAGCUUAUCGAUACUAAUAGGUCGAGGACUUGACCAA